AAGCUGGACCUGUGAGUGGCAGCAAAAAGGAAAGUGACCAGCAACAUAGAGACUAACUUUCAGCAAGAAUAGUCCAGUUUCUUUUCCAUCGAUUUCAGAAAAUUUUCUUGUUUUUGACCUCAAAGUCCUUAGGUCUCUGUUGAGCUGUCGUCCUGUGUCACACAGCAUGAACAUCAUUUUCAGUCAUCAAGUGGAAUCUCAGAUGGAGGACAGUAGUCCAGUUCAGAGAAGAGGGAGCAGAGCCUAUCAGAUCUUUCCUGAAGCCAACAUGAAUGAAGAAUCCGACUACCCUGAAGACUUUCUCUAUAGAAGGGAGCGUCUACCUUCUAUUGUUGUGGAGCCCACAGAGCACAGUGAGCA